rnacentral:rRNA from 1 species
GAUGAACGCUGGCGGCAUGCCUUACACAUGCAAGUCGAACGGUAACAGGUCUUCGGAUGCUGACGAGUGGCGAACGGGUGAGUAAUGCAUCGGAACGUGCCCAGUAGUGGGGGAUAGCCCGGCGAAAGCCGGAUUAAUACCGCAUACGACCUGAGGGUGAAAGGGGGGGAUCGCAAGACCUCUCGCUAUUGGAGCGGCCGAUGUCAGAUUAGCUAGUUGGUGGGGUAAAGGCCUACCAAGGCAACGAUCUGUAGUUGGUCUGAGAGGACGACCAGCCACACUGGGACUGAGACACGGCCCAGACUCCUACGGGAGGCAGCAGUGGGGAAUUUUGGACAAUGGGCGCAAGCCUGAUCCAGCAAUGCCGCGUGCAGGAAGAAGGCCUUCGGGUUGUAAACUGCUUUUGUCAGGGAAGAAAUCUUCUGGGUUAAUACCUCGGGAGGAUGACGGUACCUGAAGAAUAAGCACCGGCUAACUACGUGCCAGCCGCCGCGGUAAAAC